rnacentral:rRNA from 1 species
GAUGAACGCUGGCGGCGUGCCUAAUACAUGCAAGUCGAGCGAACGGACGAGAAGCUUGCUUCUCUGAUGUUAGCGGCGGACGGGUGAGUAACACGUGGAUAACCUACCUAUAAGACUGGGAUAACUUCGGGAAACCGGAGAUAAUACCGGAUGAUAUUUUGAACCGCAUGGUUCAAUAGUGAAAGACGGUCUUGCUGUCACUUAUAGAUGGAUCCGCGCUGCACUAGCUAGUUGGUAAGGUAACGGCUUACCAAGGCAACGAUGCAUAGCCGACCUGAUAGGGUGAUCGGCCACACUGGAACUGAGACACGGUCCAGACUCCUACGGGAGGCAGCAGUAGGGAAUCUUCCGCAAUGGGCGAAAGCCUGACGGAGCAACGCCGCGUGAGUGAUGAAGGUCUUCGGAUCGUAAAACUCUGUUAUUAGGGAAGAACAUAUGUGUAAGUAACUGUGCACAUCUUGACGGUACCUAAUCAGAAAGCCACGGCUAACUACGUG